rnacentral:lncRNA from 1 species
UUGUUGUGUGCAAUAAAGUCAAUGUUCUUACCUUUAUUUGCAAUUAGAUUGAUGCAUGCCACCAUUUUCUUCACAUAACAUCACAUCAUUACUAUGCCAAGAAAGAGCAAUAUCCCCAAAACCGUUUGCAACUCCUCCCAAUCACCCUCCUCAUACUCCAACAUCAUGCCACUACAGCCAUUAUUAUCCACCGCUUUCACUCCACCAUAAACAUUUCGGUAGCAGCCAUUGAAACUUCAACAGGCAACACCAUUUUUCCAGAUUCCCCCAUCCAACAACAUCUCCCUCUCCUUUCUUCACUAUGUACCCCAAUUUCCUUCACUUUCUCUGCCGCCAGUAGCUCGAUCUCAAUCGAUGACCGUGUCACCAGCAGCUUGAGCAUCGAAGAUCGAUUGUCCCUCACUGAUCUCCUGCGGCUAGUAGCGACUUCUUCAGUUAUUUGAUUGAGUUUGGAAUUAGGUGUUCGUCAGCCGCGACUUCUCUCUCGCUCUCUCUCUCUUUUUUUUUUCAUUUGUUUAGGGCAAAAUUGUAAUUUUAUAUAUGGGGUAAAAUAGUCAUUUGACUAAUUUUCCGUUAAUUCUUUUAACCGCGUGCAGACGGAGGUAGAUGGAUGCAAG